rnacentral:rRNA from 1 species
UACGUAGGGCGCAAGCGUUGUCCGGAAUUAUUGGGCGUAAAGAGCUCGUAGGCGGUUUGUCGCGUCUGUCGUGAAAGCUUGGGGCUUAACCCCAAGUCUGCGGUGGAUACGGGCAGACUAGAGGCAGGUAGGGGAGAACGGAAUUCCCGGUGUAGCGGUGAAAUGCGCAGAUAUCGGGAGGAACACCGGUGGCGAAGGCGGCGCUCUGGGCCGGAACUGACGCUGAGGAGCGAAAGCGUGGGGAGCAAACAGG